AUGAAGUUGAGAACCUUUUCACUGUCUCCCCAUUCUCCAGCCUCAGGAAACAUCUCAAGGCCUGCAUCAUCUGGAGAGGGCCCCACAUGCUAUUCAAGAUACAAAAAACACAGGAUGGCCUCUGGAGCUGGAGAUCACCUAGGAGCCCAAACCCUGCAGGGAGCACAGCCAAGCUCCACUCUCCCUCAUGACUGUCUGCCCAGCUCAGAUCCCAUAGAAACCUUCAAGAUGGAGGCAACUCUCCAGAGGGCUGUCAUGUUCCCCUCAGCCCCACAGGAGACAUUCUUCCCCUCAAGCAAGAGAGAGCAAGCAAGCAAGAGAGAGACAAUAAGGAAAAUGAACACCUCCAAUACUUCUAGUGAGGGUGUUUCUAAAGUGACAGAUCUUCUUUCACUGAAGUCAAGGGAAAUGACCCAUAAUAUCUGUUGAGAUUCCCCUUGCAUUCCCAAGACUGCAGUUACCUACAUAGUAAAGUAUCCUCUAUACAAAUGGUGAAAGCCAGAAUAUUCAGAGUUAAGGCUAAAAUUCUCUCCUCAUUUCACCUAUCAGUUUUAUCUAGGGCAGUUGCUUGCAUCAGCUUCCAGGGUUCUCAGAACAUUCAAUUAUCUUGUUUCCCAUAUGAUCUGCAAUACCCAAGGGUGGACUUGGAAUUUGAUGAAGUUGUAUCUGAUCCGAGGGUAUGGACUGACCAGUCAGCUUGAGAUGACCUUAAAUCCUCACUAGGAACAGUGAUAGCAGUAAAAUAGAAAUAGAUACAUUAGAAAAUUAAUUUCAUUACUAAGAUGCUGUCCUGUAUUGUCUAGUGUUUGGGUAGAGUUCUGAAAACUCUGAUUUACAUUCCUUUUUCUGAUAUUUUCUUUGGCCCUCACGUCAGAAGAAGAGUCCACAUUCCCUCUGCUAUUUGUGGAGUCUUGCAUAAAUUGUGUAGCUUUUCCUCAAUCAUGCAGAUGAAACAUGGCAAGCAAUGUAUGUAGAAAUGAGCCAGGAGCAAAUCUGAGUUAUAUGAUCUCAAGUUAUUCUUUUGUGUGUGGGUUUUUUUUUUUUUCCUUGACAACUUCCUAUCUUUUUGGCCAUAAUGCUAUUUAAAAACAAAUAUCUGUGGGGUCUAUUUGAGUCAGACCUGGAAAAAGAGGUCCCUUCUGAAACUUAUUUGAAAAAGAGAAACCUACAGGAUCCUGUCUGAAGGUGAAAACUUGAAUUCCCUUCCCUCUAAAUUGAAUUGGGUUUGAAUGCUUUGUAUUUUAAAGUGUGAAUCACAUUUGAAUAUAAAUUAAACAGUUUAUAGGCAAACAAAACAUGUUCUCUUUUCAUUCUCCCUAAAGAUGUAGAAUAGAGAAUGGCCCCAAGAUGGUCCUGAAAGCUCCAAAUCUUCAUCACAUGUCAGAAUCUGUUGUAAAAGAAUGUAUCUCAGGGGUUUAGGGGAAACGGAGCAGAACACAAUGGGAAUUUUUGUGUCAAAUUUUCUUACUUUUAGUUGCCAUUCCAGUUUCUAAUUCAAGCAUGAUGACAGGUAAGCAUUGACUAACCUAACUGAGCCUAAUAAGUUACCUCCUUGGCUGUCCAUUUCAACCAUCUUCAGAUAUUACUGUUAACACAAAGAGUUAGCAAGACUUAAUGUGCAUGCACCCCAGCUGCUCUCCUGCAAAAUCCAUUGAACUAAACUACUCGUCUUUGUGGGAUAAAAGCUGUAGGGUGAGCACAUACUGCAUUCUUCUGGCUUUGCUCUGGGAUCAAUCAUUUCCAGACUAACAAACACCCAGGGGACAACAGCAUGUUAAAUCCCUCUAGCUGUCUGCUAAGAGAAGUUAUGCAAAACCCAACUGAGUGAAUCCCAGGCAACAUUUGUCCAAAUUCCAUCACUCAGGUAGGCUGCAAUAAUUGCACAGACUUAAUCUGAAAGCAGUGAAUAUUAUAGACUACUCAGAGACAUAUAUGGGAUUGGGGCCAUAAUAGUAAAAGAAACAGCUAACCUUACAAAGGCUAAACUUCUUUAUUACAUGCAUUUUUCCUUGUAAAACCUUGUCAGUUUGGACUUCGCUCCACAUAUGGAAGAGAAGAAGAAGUCUGUAAAUAAACUUUUGGCUGCAGGAGAGCCCCUAUAUUGC
rnacentral:lncRNA from 1 species